UCGGGAAUUUUGGGCAAUGGGCGAAAGCCUGACCCAGCAACGCCGCGUGAAGGAUGAAAUCCCUCGGGAUGUAAACUUCGCAAGAACGGGAAGAAUCAGCCGGUGUUAACACCAUCGGUCAUGACGGUACUGUUUGUAAGCUCCGGCUAACUCCGUGCCAGCAGCCGCGGUAAUACGGGGGGAGCAAGCGUUGUUCGGAUUUACUGGGCGUAAAGGGCGCGUAGGCGGCCUCUGCAAGUCGACUGUGAAAUCUCCGGGCUUAACCCGGAACGGUCAGCCGAUACUGCAGGGCUAGAGUGCAGAAGGGGCAACUGGAAUUCUCGGUGUAGCGGUGAAAUGCGUAGAUAUCGAGAGGAACACCUGCGGCGAAGGCGGGUUGCUGGGCUGACACUGACGCUGAGGCUCGAAAGCGUGGGGAGCAA
rnacentral:rRNA from 1 species